rnacentral:rRNA from 1 species
AUUGAACGCUGGCGGCAGGCCUAACACAUGCAAGUCGAGCGGAAGAAGGGCUCUUGCUCCUGGAUUCAGCGGCGGACGGGUGUGUAAUGCCUAGGAAUCUGCCUGCUAGUGGGGUAUAACGUCCGGAAACGGGCGCUAAUACCGCAUACGCCCUGAGGGAGAACGUGGGGGAUCUUCGGACCUCACGCUAUCAGAUGAGCCUAGGUCGGAUUAGCUAGUUGGUGGGGUAAAGGCCUACCAAGGCGACGAUCCGUAGCUGGUCUGAGAGGAUGAUCAGUCACACUGGAACUGAGACACGGUCCAGACUCCUACGGGAGGCAGCAGUGGGGAAUAUUGGACAAUGGGCGAAAGCCUGAUCCAGCCAUGCCGCGUGUGGGAAGAAGGUCUUCGGAUUGUAAAGCACUUUAAGUUGGGAGGAAAAGCAGUAAGUUAAUACAUUGCUGUUUUGACGGUACCAUAAGAAUAAGCACCGGCUAACUUCGUG